rnacentral:rRNA from 1 species
AUUGAACGCUGGCGGCAUGCCUUACACAUGCAAGUCGAACGGCAGCAUGAUCUAGCUUGCUAGAUUGAUGGCGAGUGGCGAACGGGUGAGUAAUACAUCGGAACGUGCCCUGUAGUGGGGGAUAACUAGUCGAAAGAUUAGCUAAUACCGCAUACGACCUGAGGGUGAAAGUGGGGGACCGCAAGGCCGCAUGCUAUAGGAGCGGCCGAUGUCUGAUUAGCUAGUUGGUGAGGUAAAGGCUCACCAAGGCGACGAUCAGUAGCUGGUCUGAGAGGACGAUCAGCCACACUGGGACUGAGACACGGCCCAGACUCCUACGGGAGGCAGCAGUGGGGAAUUUUGGACAAUGGGCGAAAGCCUGAUCCAGCAAUGCCGCGUGUGUGAAGAAGGCCUUCGGGUUGUAAAGCACUUUUGUCCGGAAAGAAAUGGCUCUGGUUAAUACCUGGGGUCGAUGACGGUACCGGAAGAAUAAGGACCGGCUAACUACGUG